GUUUACCUUCUUGCCAUAAGCAAUCCUUUAGGGGCUCAAGUGGAUCCCUUGAUCGACGGGAACUCCUACUCGUCUGCUCAUUUUGGACCUCCUCAAAGCAUAUCUAAACUCUACGCAUCUCAUCAAGCUGGUGGUUAACUAGCCAAUUCGAGGAAAAGGUUUCAACAGGCCUAGGAUUACAAGUGAAGCCCAGAUAUGUUCCCGAAAAAGAGCAACACUUUCUCAUUAAGAUACAGAUCACCUGCAACAUUUCCUCAUCAUCACAUUUCAUAACAUUCCCUUACUUUAGGAUGAGAGCGAGCUGCUUCUCUGCACCUUGUGUUGCAACAAAAUCCAGUUUCAAAAAUAUUAGGCUGGUUUGUUUAACAUUAAAAAAAAAAUUGUAAUGAGGUCCUCACUGAUGUGACAUUGUAUUUUCAGAAAUUUUAGAUUCCUAUUAUAUGGUGUUUACAUAUUUUACAAUUAAUCUGCUUUACAGGAUACACUACUUCAAAUAUGAGGCAGUAUGAGUAAAGUAGCUUCAGGCUAUCAGAAACCACGGUGUAGGAAAC
rnacentral:lncRNA from 1 species